rnacentral:tRNA from 1 species
UAAUGAAGCGCCUGAGGAAAGGGUUAUUUUGAUAGAAUAAAUUAUGUAAAAAUUUUACCUUCAUU